AUGUGGUUUUCCCCGACCGGACAUCCAGCACCACCUCUCCAUCUCUCCUCCAGCGCACAGACUUCACCCACUGACCUGCUGUGAUGGAGCGGCACGGGAGGAUGGCAUCCUCGCCCUCGUGUACAAAAACAUCAGAAGGAGCUUCACUCUGAAUCCUGACCUCCUUUAUUUCACAGUAUAUAGGUACAGUCACGAGAGGUUAGUAAUAUCUGGAAGACUCAGACCGAUGCAGAGAUCUGAACUCUGAUCCUUUCAGUUCUUCUGGUUACUGAAGCUGCUUCUUUGUCAGUCUUACUGUU